CUUCGACUAAGGUUCGAUUCGAGCGCAGCGAGAAAGCGUUGCCGCAGGCAACGACCCGAAGGGCGAAGCGCGCAGCGCUGAGUAAUCCUUCCCCCACCACCA
rnacentral:sRNA from 3 species